GAAGUGUGUAAUUGGUAUUAGUUUAACAGGCCUCUUUCUCUGCUGAGACAGUUAUUUCAGCUGAAGCUCUGGUGCAGAAGAUACAGGAUACUGAAGAACUGGGCCCAUGAUACAGUACUCAGUGCAAAAGAAUUUAUUGAGCCAAGUCAGCCAAAGUGCACAUUUCCUUACCAAGAACAGCCAACCAGACAACAAAAUAGUAUAACUGAGGACUGGGACAAGCUCACACUCACUAGGAAGAUUGUAAAGAAGAGAUGAGAUAGUGCCAUUUCUCUUCACUGCAAUGUUUCAGGACAAAAACACAGAACUGUGGGAAGCCAGGCUUCAUUACCUCUGGAACAACUUGCUUAUAAGCUCAAGA
rnacentral:lncRNA from 1 species